rnacentral:lncRNA from 1 species
GUCAACUACAUGAAGAGAAAUGGUCACCCCUAGACUUAAGACCUGUGCUCCUUCCAUCAACUGCUGGACAGUCUACACCACAGCACAAAUUUGUCACAAACCUACACGGUGCCCCUAUGGAUUCUUAAGCUUGAGCAAGCAUACUGGGAAAAGCUGUGUUAAAUAAAAC